rnacentral:rRNA from 1 species
GACGAACGCUGGCGGCGUGCCUAAUACAUGCAAGUUGAGCAAUGAAGAUUGGUGCUUGCACCAAUUUGAAGAGCAGCGAACGGGUGAGUAACGCGUGGGGAAUCUGCCUUUGAGCGGGGGACAACAUUUGGAAACGAAUGCCAAUACCGCAUAACAACUUUAAACAUAAGUUUUAAGUUUGAAAGAUGCAAUUGCAUCACUCAAAGAUGAUCCCGCGUUGUAUUAGCUAGUUGGUGAGGUAAAGGCUCACCAAGGCGAUGAUACAUAGCCGACCUGAGAGGGUGAUCGGCCACAUUGGGACUGAGACACGGCCCAAACUCCUACGGGAGGCAGCAGUAGGGAAUCUUCGGCAAUGGACGAAAGUCUGACCGAGCAACGCCGCGUGAGUGAAGAAGGUUUUCGGAUCGUAAAACUCUGUUGGUAGAGAAGAACGUUGGUGAGAGUGGAAAGCUCAUCAAGUGACGGUAACUACCCAGAAAGGGACGGCUAACUACGUG